GGGAAUGAUCACCUAAAGUUUCCUGCAACAGAUUUGGACACCUCACUAUGAUCAACACGAAGAGAUAAGAGCAAAGCAUCAUGUCACGGAGUCUUAGGGUAGGAAGGACUACAAUCCUGUGAAGUUUGAGGAUCACAGGGUCAAAAUUGGACAGGGUUGCUUUGGAACUAGCUAAUCAGGUCCAGAGUAGGAAUUUUGAAGUGGCACUCACAUACAUGCUUGGAUUGAGCUCAAAUUUGGAGGAGAUGAAUAAUUUGGGCAGGAGAGGAUGCUGUAUAAAAUUCAUGUCAUCUUGAUAAGCCCAAGUGGCACUUCCUUCAUACAGUUUCUCUCUGGACAGAAACUUAGAAGAAUUACUGGAAUUAAUUGGCUCAAAAUUGGUUUAGCAAUGUUUCAUGGACAGGAGA
rnacentral:lncRNA from 1 species